GUGGCUCGCCAUGUCUUCUCACAAGACUUUUAGGAUCAAGAGAUUCCUGGCCAAGAAACAAAAGCAAAAUCGCCCCAUUCCGCAGUGGGUUCAGAUGAAAACUGGCAAUAAAAUCCGGUACAACUCCAAGAGGAGACAUUGGCGAAGCUCCAAGCUGGGCCUGUAAGGAAUGGCACGUGAGACGGCGCAGACGUUGAUGCUGUAUCAAGGUCACCAUCACCUUACCAUGUCAAGUUGAAAAUGUCACCACAGUCUGGGAAGCUGGACG